AUUAAACGCUGGCGGCAUGCCUUACACAUGCAAGUCGAACGGCAGCACGGGGGCAACCCUGGUGGCGAGUGGCGGACGGGUGAGUAAAGCAUCGGAACGUAUCCUGGAGUGGGGGGAUAACGUAGCGAAAGUUACGCUAAUACCGCAUAUUCUGUGAGCAGGAAAGCAGGGGAUCGCAAGACCUUGCGCUCUGGGAGCGGCCGAUGUCGGAUUAGCUAGUUGGUGGGGUAAAGGCCUACCAAGGCGACGAUCCGUAGCGGGUCUGAGAGGAUGAUCCGCCACACUGGGACUGAGACACGGCCCAGACUCCUACGGGAGGCAGCAGUGGGGAAUUUUGGACAAUGGGCGGAAGCCUGAUCCAGCCAUGCCGCGUGAGUGAAGAAGGCCUCGGUUGGUAAGUACGUCUUUCGGUCCGGGGGUAAGGGAAAGUUAGUCACGGGUUAAGUAACC
rnacentral:rRNA from 1 species